GCUUACGUCGCGCGCUCCCGCUAGCGCGUUAGACGUGUGGCGAUGUGGCUGCAGCCAAGAGCCAGGGAAGUAAAACUAUUGAAGCCUCGGGUGCACGUUACGCCAUGUUUCUAUCGCGCGCGUCUGGGGUAGAAUAGGGAGAAAGGUUCACGUCGGUUUUACUCAUGCGGGUCUCUAUGUGUGCAGCUUGGCGUUUCGUCCUUAAAACAGGUCCUGGAGUUGGGGACUUUGCAAUUCCACUUAAAUGGGUACCAGAUGGACCGAACGGCCUCCGUCUUCCUGCACAGUCGGCUCCGUGUCCAACAGCCCCUGUGCACCCAGUGCAGUAUUGCUUAAGGAAAGCAAGGACGAAGGGUAAUUCCAGCUCUUCACCCAAAUGACACCUGUAAAAUACAAUACAAAACCAAAGUGGGCUAUAGUUGGAGCCACAAAAGAAAGUUGGGCCCAGGCACAGCCAGGGUAGAGGCCUUCUGCCUUCUUCCCUUCUAGGGUAGAGAGCAUCCUGGAUGCCGGGACGUCUCUGCUAGGGAUCCACAGUGAGAUGGGAUUUGUGGGGAGAAGGUGAGCCCAAAGCGGAGUCCGGUGCCCCACAGUGGCUGAAGUAGCAGAGCAUGCCAGGGAGCAGAGCCAAUAAGCAUCUUUCCGAUGCGGUUUCUCAUCAGGGGAUGCCUCCAGGUUCCUGCUCCUUCCCUGACGAUGAGAUCCAACCUGUAAGAUGUAAAGAACACCUUCCUCCCCACGCUGCCUUUGAUAAGUGUUUUUAUCACAGCAACAGAAAGCAAUCUAGAACAGUGAGUGAGUGGCUGCAGGCCAAGCAGUGCACUAGAUGUGAAGCUGAGACAAACUAGAUUGAAUCAGGCGACUUGAAGAGACGUUUGAGCCAGAACAGCUGAAUUGAAUCAGCCAGUAAGAGUUCAGAAAGAGCUAGAAAAGGAGAUCGUAGUCAGCAGUAAGCCUCCGAGACAACAAGGACAUCAAGCGAAUAAAAGUUACUUUCGCAAGCUUGUUUUGAGAUGACCUGGGAAUAAAGUCCAUUGAACUCUU
rnacentral:lncRNA from 1 species